UGCAUUCAAUCCUUGGGUUUAAAACUUGAUAGAUCACACUUUAAGCUUUUAUUUGUAAACACUUACAUUGUGUGAAGGAAGAUUUAUGUAAUUUUUAUUUUAACACAAAAUUGAGAGUUUAAGAGUGUUGGAAACACUUAGGUUAAGAGGUUUGAGAUGACCUCUUGUUGUAGAGGUUGAUCGACAUCUUGGAAGUCAAUUGUAAAGAUUUUGGAGCCUUAGAGUGUAAGGCGUUGCUGUCGUCGAACACCAGCUACCCUACCUCGCCUUGCUCAGUGCAUUUCGCUGUCAUCGAACGCCGGCAACCCGCUGCAUCAAUGGCUGGCGAAGCACACCACACACGGCUGCCUUGUAUAUUCUUUCUGUCUUUGGCUGCAGUUUCCAGAAGGGAAUACUCAUCCAAUCUCAGAGAAGGUUGGUUCGUGGCACCAAAUCUCAACAUCGAAGGACAAAGUAGACCGACCAAUACAAAAGGUGGGCACUCGAAUUUCCAGCAAAUCAAUUUCAGAUUUUCAGUGAGCAAGGCGAGGCAUUUUUGGUGUCGUUUUGUGCUUCCAUGGAUUGCGUUUACAUAACCAUUUAAUCAAAUCAUUUGGUCUUAUUAUCUAUCAUCAUCUUCUAUUAUUAUUAUUAUUAUUUUAGCUUUUAAAUUAAUUGUUGUCACUAUGCAUAAAUGUAGUUUGUCGUCUUCCUUAACUUUAUGAAUUACUUUAAUUUCAGAUUUGCUUCAAUUAUUUUGAUUUGGUUUUUGGUUUAAUUACUUAAAUUAAAUGCAUUAAUUU
rnacentral:lncRNA from 1 species